CCCUUAGAUGUUCUGGGCUGCACGCGCGCUACACUGAUGCGUUCAACGAGUUUAUGACCUUGCCCGAUAGGGUUGGGUAAUCUUUUUAAAUCGCAUCGUGAUGGGGAUAGAUUAUUGCAAUUAUUAAUCUUCAACGAGGAAUUCCUAGUAAGCGCAAGUCAUCAGCUUGCGUUGAUUACGUCCCUGCCCUUUGUACACACCGCCCGUCGCUCCUACCGAUUGAAUGGUCCGGUGAAGCGUUCGGACCGUGGCCUUUGGACGGUUCGCCGUCUGUUGGCUGCGGGAAGUUCGUUAAACCUUAUCAUUUAGAGGAAGGAGAAGUCGUAACA
rnacentral:rRNA from 1 species